rnacentral:rRNA from 1 species
GAGUUUGAUCCUGGCUCAAGAUGACCUUUGGCGGCGUGCUUAACACAUGCAAGUCGAACGGGAUCCAUCAUGCUUUGCUUGGUGGUGAGAGUGGCGAACGGGUGAGUAAUGCGUGACCGACCUGCCCCAUACACCGGAAUAGCUCCUGGAAACGGGUGGUAAUGCCGGAUGCUCCGACUCCUCGCAUGGGGUGUCGGGAAAGAUUUCAUCGGUAUGGGAUGGGGUCGCGUCCUAUCAGGUAGUCGGCGGGGUAACGGCCCACCGAGCCUACGACGGGUAGCCGGCCUGAGAGGGCGACCGGCCACAUUGGGACUGAGAUACGGCCCACACUCCUACGGGAGGCAGCAGUGGGGAAUAUUGCACAAUGGGCGCAAGCCUGAUGCAGCGACGCCGCGUGCGGGAUGACGGCCUUCGGGUUGUAAACCGCUUUUGAUCGGGAGCAAGCCUUCGGGUGAGUGUACCUUUCGAAUAAGCACCGGCUAACUACGUGCCAGCAGCCGCGGUAAUACGUAGGGUGCAAGCGUUAUCCGGAAUUAUUGGGCGUAAAGGGCUCGUAGGCGGUUCGUCGCGUCCGGUGUGAAAGUCCAUCGCUUAACGGUGGAUCUGCGCCGGGUACGGGCGGGCUGGAGUGCGGUAGGAGAGACUGUAAUUCCCGGUGUUUCGGUGGGUUGUGUUGGUUUCGGGGGGGUCCCCCUUGGCGGUGGCGGGUCUUUGGGCCGUUCCUGUCGCUGGGGGGCGGGUGCGUGGGGGGCCCUCAAAAAUUCCUUCCCUGGUUGUUCCCGCCGUNNNCCGGCCCCAAAAAGGGGUGGGGGCCGUUCCACGGGGUUCCGGGUCGGAGCUAACGCGUUAAGCAUCCCGCCUGGGGAGUACGGCCGCAAGGCUAAAACUCAAAGAAAUUGACGGGGGCCCGCACAAGCGGCGGAGCAUGCGGAUUAAUUCGAUGCAACGCGAAGAACCUUACCUGGGCUUGACAUGUUCCCGACAGCCGUAGAGAUAUGGCCUCCCUUCGGGGCGGGUUCACAGGUGGUGCAUGGUCGUCGUCAGCUCGUGUCGUGAGAUGUUGGGUUAAGUCCCGCAACGAGCGCAACCCUCGCCCUGUGUUGCCAGCACGUCAUGGUGGGAACUCACGGGGGACCGCCGGGGUCAACUCGGAGGAAGGUGGGGAUGACGUCAGAUCAUCAUGCCCCUUACGUCCAGGGCUUCACGCAUGCUACAAUGGCCGGUACAACGGGAUGCGACACGGCGACGUGGAGCGGAUCCCUGAAAACCGGUCUCAGUUCGGAUUGGAGUCUGCAACCCGACUCCAUGAAGGCGGAGUCGCUAGUAAUCGCGGAUCAGCAACGCCGCGGUGAAUGCGUUCCCGGGCCUUGCACACACGGCCCGUC